UUCUUUUUUACAAAACAUCUCAAGCUCCUUCUUGUUGCUUUCUUUCUACAAUGCCUUCUGGAAAGCAUUCACCGGUUGCUGCUUGAUGACACUGUGCCACGGAUAGAGUGGGACCAAAAUGUCCUCCAAGAGAAGCUUCUUCCAAUCCCUCCGGAACAGUCUGGUGGUGAUCUGUCGACUUUCCAGCAUGACGGAGCAGCGUUUUCCCCGCCGCAAAACUGACAAAGGAAGGAGUUCCCUGGGCGUGCUUCGGUGGCGUAGUGGAUAGCGCGACCCAUAUUUGGAGGCCUUGAGUCCUCGACGCGGCCGUCGCGGGUUCGAUUCCCGGACCCGACCGCCAUUUGCCGCAUGUCUUCCUCCCUCUCACUUCCCCUUUCCUGUCAGUCUACUGACAUAUAAGGGACACCCACAAAAAGACCCCCUGGAGGGGGAAAAAAUAAAAAAAAGAAAGGAGUUCCCUAAUGAGUCUGGCAGGGAGCUGAAGGGACAGGAUGUCUGCUUCUAAACACGGACUGGAACCGUCUAAUAUUCCUCCUCACGCCACAUCUGAUACCGCGCUCUCCCAAGACACGGCUAAACCGACGCCAUUAUCUCUUAAGGCAGAAAAAUCAAAGCUGUGUUUGUAAACAUGGACACGGCCCUCAAACAGAAACCCGAGAAAUGACAAGAUUACUUAUGUCUGAAGUGAUUUGGGGAAAAACUUCUAUAGUAAGAAAUCGGAUCAGUUGAAGAUGUGACGUUGCGCGUCCUUUUAAGGACACAGCACAAUAAAGCUCCGAUGUGAUCUGUUUUCAUCCUCAUACGCGGUGUUGACUUAAAGUUUGUUAUAAAAGAUGCAAUCAAAAGGGGCGGUAUCGUGUGAAAUUUUGAGUUUCACAACAUGUUGUAAUGUUAUUCCUUCACCAAAAACAUAUCUGGAGUGUUGCUUUGAUUCUUUCACGCAUGUUUGAGAAAUCCUUUAAUGUCCAUUGGCAACCGUUCAGCGGUGCAAAACGUCUGGCUCCACCUUCGAGGACGACGCUCCUCCUCAAGACUGUAGUUUCCAAGUUUCCAUGCUUUCCCGUGACUCCGCCACUCAGCUCCUUCAGACUAGCUAGCCGCAAUUAGCAAACACCUGCUGGAACUGCACAUCUUCUGAACUCGUUAAAUGAGCCACUGCCCAAUGCAACGCUGUUAAAAAAAAUGUUGUUUAAGGGGUAAUAGAGAAUGUUGCGAUGACUUCCUGAAGGCAGAGUUUCAGAAAGAGCAAGAGUUUUUAAAGAGACAAAGACCCAAUUUUAAGGUGCUAAGAAGUCCACUUUCUUUUAAAUCAUUUUUGAUAAUAUAUGGCAUUUUUAGAACAACUGAAUCCAGCAUAGUUACUUGAUUGGGCUAUAAAAUGGCACAAAGUGCUCUGAAAACAUAUAAGUGUCCCUUUAAGAGUUCUGAACUUUAAAGAGAUGGUUGCCAGUAUGUUUUACCUUACUGUCUUGUACAAUAAAGUCAUAUUUAUUGCGGUAAAGUAAACCUCAUAAGCACCGCCUGUACUUUGUUUUGGGGAAAACUAAAUCAGGGCAAGAACCGGAAACAAAGAGAGUAAAUAGGAAGUACUUCCUGUAGGAAAGAAAGUGGAAUACGUAGACGUGAUUCUAAUCUUUAACCUUAGAUGUCCCGUCUUUGCGACUGUGGUCUUGGCCAAAACAGUCCUGUGUGAAUAUGAUGAACAGCAGUGUCAUUGAGAUAAAAGGUUAAACUCCCCUGUUUUUAAUCUUUGACGAGGAUUAAGAUACAUAAUGAAGCGUACUCUCUGACCGCCGAGGCCUGCGCUGCUGCCGACCGCUUCCACAGAGGGAGCUCCGAUAUCUUUUGAAAAACAUUUUUAUUUUCAAUUUUUUUUCUUUUUAUCCCUCUUCCAGGAACAACGACAUGCCUCAGAGCUGCGUUGAUAAAUGUCAGUCAUGCCCUGGCGGGGAACUCUGCGGCAGAAUUAAUAAUACUUGUCAGACAACGCUCCAUCCUGCUUUAUUGCACUAUUCUGGUGGCUGCCCCAGCCGGAGCCUGCAGCCGUUGCAGACCUGUCCCGGCCUGCGCCGUGAAGCCAGACUAAAUACUGAGCUCCUCUAAUAUUAGACUCACUGCUGAAAGAGCAUUUAAUGGUUGCCAUCGGGAAAGUUUACCGUCUUGCCAAAAGGUGGGAACGUGUCCAAGUGACACAUUCUCGGGUAAUUACGUGUUCCGGUUCUUUCAUGAGACGAUUCUGUUUUAAAUGAUUGGAGACGGUGGCAUCGUUGGGUCAUUAAGAAUAAUCUCAAAUGGAGCCGCAGCUGCUAAUUAUUCACAUGAAUCAUUCAGGACAGGAACAACUCCUUCCCUGCCCCCUUCAUGUAGA